AGCCUUCUGUUUUGUGCUGUGAUCUCGUCACACACCAGAACACAAGGGCUGAUGAGACUCCCAAGAUAAGUGAAGCG
rnacentral:pre_miRNA from 1 species